rnacentral:rRNA from 1 species
AGACGAUGUAUAGGAGCUGACGCCUGCCCGGUGCUGGAAGGUUAAGGGGAUCUGUUAGAGCAAUCGAAGCAGUGAACUUAAGCCCCAGUAAACGGCGGCCGUAACUAUAACGGUCCUAAGGUAGCGAAAUUCCUUGGCGGGUAAGUUCCGACCCGCACGAAAGGCGUAACGAUUUGGGCACUGUCUCAACAACAGACUCGGUGAAAUUGUAAUUCAGGAGAAGAUGGCGGAUAGCUGCGACAGGACGGAAAGACCCCAUGGAGC